AACAAAAAUGAUGUUUAUUUGCGUUACGUUUGGUAUCCUUUUAAGAAUCUGUUGCGUAGAAGCUGAAGCUGAAGCUGAGCAAUUAAAGUACAAAGUACAGAUAAAUAAUAAUAAAAUGUCUUUAAAACCGCAAGGAAUUGUU